CCCUCCCGAACUCCACUGCCACUUCCUUCUCACCCAUCCGGACUCUCUCGCCCUCUGCCCUUUCUCUCUUCUCAGUGCGCGCCAUGGCCGCCGGCUCUGCUGCCCCCUUCAACAAAAUCCAAAUCCAAAGAGACGACACCACAUUUGAUGCAUAUGUUGUUGGCAAAGAUGGUGCUCCGGGGAUUGUCGUGCUUCAAGAGUGGUGGGGUGUGGAUUUUGAAAUUAAGAACCAUGCUGUCAAGAUUUCUCAACUUGCUCCUGGAUUCAAAGCACUUAUCCCUAAGUAAAUUCGCUGAGCUUACGUUAACCCUUGCUAAUAUUGUGUGUGUUUGUUGAUUUAUUUGCUGCAUCUCAAUGCUAAGUAUCUUCUUGCUUCUUUUUCUAGUUUGGUACCCAUUUGGUGUGAUUCGAUUUUGUAAUCUAAUAUUGAAUAUUACCGUUAUUAGAGUAUUUUCGGAAGUGGAUAAAA